rnacentral:rRNA from 1 species
UUUGUAACAAUGGCUUUAGUGGCGGACUGGUGAGUAACGCGUAAGCAAUCUACCUAUUAGAGGGGAAUAACAAUGAGAAAUCAUUGCUAAUACCGCAUAUGCCAUAAUGAAGACAUCUUCAUAGUGGGAAAGGAGCAAUCCGCUAAUAGAUGAGCUUGCGUCUGAUUAGUUAGUUGGUGGGGUAAUGGCCUACCAAGACGACGAUCAGUAGCCGGACUGAGAGGUUGAACGGCCACAUUGGGACUGAGAUACGGCCCAGACUCCUACGGGAGGCAGCAGUCGGGAAUAUUGCACAAUGGGGGAAACCCUGAUGCAGCGACGCCGCGUGGAGGAAGAAGGUCUUCGGAUUGUAAACUCCUGUUGUUGGGGAAAAGAAGGAUGGUACCCAACAAGGAAGUGACGGCUAACUACGCCGCGGAGCCGCGGUAAAACGUAGGUCACGAGCGUUGUCCGGAAUUACUGGGUGUAAAGGGAGCGCAGGCGGGUAUGCAAGUUGGGAGUGAAAUGCAUGGGCUCAACCCAUGAACUGCUCUCAAAACUGUGUAUCUUGAGUAGUGCAGAGGUAGGCGGAAUUCCCGGUGUAGCGGUGGAAUGCGUAGAUAUCGGGAGGAACACCAGUGGCGAAGGCGGCCUACUGGGCACCAACUGACGCUGAGGCUCGAAAGUGUGGGUAGCAAACAGGAUUAGAUACCCUGGUAGUCCACACCGUAAACGAUGAUUACUAGGUGUUGGAGGAUAGACCCCUUCAGUGCCGCAGUUAACACAAUAAGUAAUCCACCUGGGGAGUACGACCGCAAGGUUGAAACUCAAAGGAAUUGACGGGGGCCCGCACAAGCAGUGGAGUAUGUGGUUUAAUUCGACGCAACGCGAAGAACCUUACCAGGGCUUGACAUAUACAUGAAAGUCUAAGAGAUUAGACCCCUCUUCGGAGCGUGUAUACAGGUGGUGCAUGGUUGUCGUCAGCUCGUGUCGUGAGAUGUUGGGUUAAGUCCCGCAACGAGCGCAACCCCUGUUCUUAGUUGCCAGCACGUCAAGGUGGGAACUCUAAGAAGACUGCCGGUGAUAAAUCGGAGAAAGGUGGGGACGACGUCAAAUCAUCAUGCCCUUUAUGUCCUGGGCUACACACGUACUACAAUGGCGUUCAACAAAGAGAAGCGAACCUGCGAGGGGGAGCGAAACUCAAAAAAGUAGUCUCAGUUCGGAUUGAAGGCUGAAAUUCGCCUUUAUGAAGCCGGAAUUGCUAGUAAUGGCAGGUCAGCAUACUGCCGUGAAUACGUUCCCGGGCCUUGUACACACCGCCCGUCACACCAUGAGAGUUGGGAAUACCCGAAGCCUGUAAGCUAACGCAAGAGGCAGCAGUCGAAGGUAGAAUCAAUGAUUGGGGUGA